rnacentral:lncRNA from 1 species
AUUUACACUUUCACUUGAAUUUCCAAGUUUUUUAAAGAAUGUUAGUACAGAGGACUGUUUCUUAGACAUGAUAACAAACGAACAUCCGCAAAAAUUACACAAACAAUAGCAGCUCAGCUAGUAACAAUAAGCUUAUUGAACGAAUAAAACGUGGCGACCACCUACACAACACAACACACGCGCACUGUAGGCGAAUUCUAUAAUUUUUCGUUAUUACCGCGAAAGCUAAGCUAAACGAUAGCGAAGUUGAUUUAUGUUCAUAUUCUAUAAGGUUAGUUUUCGCUUUCGCUUCGUUAUCAUAGCGGCAUACGAUAAUAUACGAGUUUAAACGAUCUAUGAAUAAAUAAUUACGGCAACAUUGCAAAUAUAUGUGCAGGAAGUAAAAAAAGAAGAAGUAAAGAAAGAAGAAGAGUAACUAGAGAGUUACAUGACGUACCUAUAUAACCUUAUAAUCACAAGUUUGAUUAAAUUUUUAUUAUAUUUUAAUAAAAGUGUUGCCGGUGCAAUUUGUUCUAUAUGGAGAAGGAGAACUCGAGCGAAGAAACCAUCUGCGAUCUGCGGUUAACGCCAGAGGAAAGCAGGUUCCUUCGAGAUAGAAGUGACCCAUUUGGUUUAACAGAUAUAAGGUUUAUUGAUAUUUUUCGCUUAAGCAAAGAACUAGUUUGAUUCCUUUUUGAUGAGCUACAGGAACUUACGGAAGAUUGGGAAGGUGGUGUAAGAGCAUCACUAAUUCAUAAUUCAUUAUCAA